rnacentral:rRNA from 1 species
UCCGUAGGCGGGCCAUUAAGUCAGGGGUGAAAGUCUGCGGCUCAACCGUAGAAUUGCCUUUGAUACUGGUGGUCUUGAGUUAUGGUGAAGUGGCUGGAAUAUGUAGUGUAGCGGUGAAAUGCAUAGAUAUUACAUAGAACACCGAUUGCGAAGGCAGGUCACUAACCAUAUACUGACGCUGAUGGACGAAAGCGUGGGGAGCGAACAGAAUUAGAUACCCUGGUAGUCC